rnacentral:rRNA from 1 species
GUCCACGCCGUAAACGAUGAGUGCUAGAUGCUGUGGGUAUUGACCCCCGCGGUGUCGCAGCCAACGCGUUAAGCACUCCGCCUGGGGAGUACGGCCGCAAGGCUAAAACUCAAAGGAAUUGACGGGGGCCCGCACAAGCGGUGGAGCAUGUGGUUCAAUUCGACGCAACGCGCAGAACCUUACCUGGGUUAAAUCCACUCGAAGCUGGCAGAGAUGCCGGUUUGCUCUUCGGAGAGCGAGUGAGAAGGUGCUGCAUGGCUGUCGU